AUUGAACGCUGGCGGCAUGCUUUACACAUGCAAGUCGAACGGUAACAGGCCGCAAGGUGCUGACGAGUGGCGAACGGGUGAGUAAUGCAUCGGAACGUGCCCAGUCGUGGGGGAUAACGCAGCGAAAGCUGCGCUAAUACCGCAUACGAUCUAUGGAUGAAAGCGGGGGACCGUAAGGCCUCGCGCGAUUGGAGCGGCCGAUGUCAGAUUAGGUAGUUGGUAGGGUAAAGGCUCACCAAGCCAACGAUCUGUAGCUGGUCUGAGAGGACGACCAGCCACACUGGGACUGAGACACGGCCCAGACUCCUACGGGAGGCAGCAGUGGGGAAUUUUGGACAAUGGGCGCAAGCCUGAUCCAGCAAUGCCGCGUGCAGGAAGAAGGCCUUCGGGUUGUAAACUGCUUUUGUACGGAACGAAACGGCUCUGGUUAAUACCCGGAGCUAAUGACGGUACCGUAAGAAUAAGCACCGGCUAACUACGUGCCAGCCGCCGCUGUAAGAC
rnacentral:rRNA from 1 species